rnacentral:rRNA from 1 species
GCCUACGGGGCGCAGCAGUGAGGAAUAUUGGUCAAUGGGCGGUAGCCUGAACCAGCCAAGUAGCGUGAAGGAUGAAGGUUCUAUGGAUUGUAAACUUCUUUUAUAAAGGAAUAAAGUGAGGCACGUGUGCCUUUUUGUAUGUACUUUAUGAAUAAGGAUCGGCUAACUCCGUGCCAGCAGCCGCGGUAAUACGGCGGAUCCGCGCGUUAUCCGGAUUUAUUGGGUUUAAAGGGAGCGUAGAUGGGUUGUUAAGUCAGUUGUGAAAGUUUGCGGCUCACCCGUACACUUGCAAUUUAUACUGGCAG